rnacentral:rRNA from 1 species
UACAGAGGGUGCAAGCGUUGUUCGGAAUUAUUGGGCGUAAAGGGCGCGUAGGCGGUGCGGUAAGUCUGCAGUGAAAUCUCUGGGCUCAACUCAGAGUCUGCUGUAGAAACUGCCGUGCUUGAGUGUGGGAGAGGUGAGUGGAAUUCCCGGUGUAGCGGUGAAAUGCGUAGAUAUCCGGAGGAAUACCAAAGGCGAAGGCAGUGUCCUGGCUGGCAUCUGACGCUGAGGCGCGAAAGCUAGGGGAGCGAACAGG